UACGGAGGGGGCAAGCGUUGUUCGGAAUUACUGGGCGUAAAGGGGCCGCGAGCAGGCGGCUGCUCAAGUCAGGACGUGAAAGGCCUGGGACUCAACCCGGGAAUUGCGCUUGACGACUGGGCUGGCUUGAGUGCGGGAGAGGAUGGUGGAAUUCCCAGUGUAGAGGUGAAAUUCGUAGAUAUUGGGAAGAACACCGGUGGCGAAGGCGGGCCAUCUGGACCGCAACUGACGCUGAGGCGCGAAAGCGUGGGGAGCAAACAGGAUUAAGAAACCCUUGGUACGUCCG
rnacentral:rRNA from 1 species